rnacentral:rRNA from 1 species
UACGUAGGGGGCAAGCGUUGUCCGGAAUCAUUGGGCGUAAAGAGCGUGUAGGCGGCCCGGUAAGUCCGCUGUGAAAGUCCAGGGCUCAACCCUGGGAUGCCGGUGGAUACUGUCGGGCUCGAGUCCGGAAGAGGAGUGUGGAAUUCCUGGUGUAGCGGUGAAAUGCGCAGAUAUCAGGAAGAACACCCGUGGCGAAGGCGGCUCUCUGGGACGGUACUGACGCUGAGACGCGAAAGCGUGGGGAGCAAACAGGG